rnacentral:rRNA from 1 species
ACGCUCGACACCUACGGAGGCAGCAGUGGGGAAUAUUGCACAAUGGGGGAAACCCUGAUGCAGCGACGCCGCGUGAGCGAAGAAGUAUUUCGGUAUGUAAAGCUCUAUCAGCAGGGAGAAAAAAACUGACGGUACCUGACUAAGAAGCACCGGCUAAAUACGUGCCAGCAGCCGCGGUAAUCUGAGCGGGCGUGGCGAAGGC